rnacentral:rRNA from 1 species
GAUGAACGCUGACAGAAUGCUUAACACAUGCAAGUCCACUUGAAUUUGGGUUUUUAACUUAGGUUUGGGUGGCGGACGGGUGAGUAACGCGUAAAGAACUUGCCUCACAGCUAGGGACAACAUUUGGAAACGAAUGCUAAUACCUAAUAUUAUGAUAAUAGGGCAUCCUAUAAUUAUGAAAGCUAUAAGCGCUGUGAGAGAGCUUUGCGUCCCAUUAGCUAGUUGGAGAGGUAACGGCUCACCAAGGCGAUGAUGGGUAGCCGGCCUGAGAGGGUGAUCGGCCACAAGGGGACUGAGACACGGCCCUUACUCCUACGGGAGGCAGCAGUGGGGAAUAUUGGACAAUGGACCGAGAGUCUGAUCCAGCAAUUCUGUGUACACGAUGAAGUUUUUCGGAAUGUAAAGUGCUUUCAGUUGGGAAGAAACAAAUGACGGUACCAACAGAAGAAGUGACGGCUAAAUACGUG